UUUUUUCCUCUACUAUUGAGCAACAUCUGGAUAGGUUGAGGGUAAUGGAGCUGAGACUCCCAGUUGACUUUCUGUUUGGUCAAGUUCAGGAGCUUGUGGGUGGCUUUGUUCAUGAGUGGGUCCAGGAUCACCAGACCUGCUUGCAGAUGGCUUCUGAUGGAGCUCGAGAUUGGCUGAAGGCUGCUGCAGAGCGCCGCAAGAAACAUCAUGACCAGCGUGUCCAUGAU